AACGAACGCUGGCGGCAUGCCUAACACAUGCAAGUCGAACGAGACCUUCGGGUCUAGUGGCGCACGGGUGCGUAACGCGUGGGAACCUGCCCUUAGGUUCGGAAUAACUCCCCGAAAGGGGUGCUAAUACCGGAUAAUGUCUUCGGACCAAAGAUUUAUCGCCUUUGGAUGGGCCCGCGUUGGAUUAGCUAGUUGGUAGGGUAAAAGCCUACCAAGGCGACGAUCCAUAGCUGGUCUGAGAGGAUGAUCAGCCACACUGGGACUGAGACACGGCCCAGACUCCUACGGGAGGCAGCAGUGGGGAAUAUUGGACAAUGGGCGAAAGCCUGAUCCAGCAAUGCCGCGUGAGUGAUGAAGGCCUUAGGGUUGUAAAGCUCUUUUACCCGGGAUGAUAAUGACAGUACCGGGAGAAUAAGCCCCGGAUAACUCCGUG
rnacentral:rRNA from 1 species